CACCCAGACCCACCUCGUAGAUGCAGCACUGAAUGAUGGUGAGGAGGGUCAGGGCUACUGCGUGGAGACUGAAGAAAACAUCAUUGAUGGCCACAGGGUUCACCCCGCUGGGAUAACUGACCAGGAAUUCCUCCUAAAGUUCUCAAAGAGUUGAGGAUAAAAGGAGAUGGACCAGGCGACGAAAUAGAUCCAGCCAAUCACCUCAUCAGCAUAUCUCACUAUGAUGCUGUGGAUCACUUGAAAUUGAAUCCUAGGCCUGAUGGUUAAUGCAAGAAGAAUCAGUUAAUUAAUGCUUUUUUCAGGAGAUUUUAUUUUGUUCUGCUCUGAGAGAGGAAAUAGACUCCAGGUGUCUUGUUGAGACAAGACAAUAAAGAUUCGCUUGGGUUCAGCUGA